AAAAUCUCGUGUCAGCGUCCUAGAAGCCUCUAACAGCAGCUUUGUUAAGCCGUUUUUCAUUUUUCAUUGUUUAUUUGAACACUUCCAGUCAUGAGUAAUGUGUGCUGGUGUUGUUAUAUCAUACCAGACGAAGUAAAUACCGAUUGAUGUCAAGUUUUUCCCCUUAAAUUUCUGCACCUUUCUCUUGUUUUUGUGAUAUUGAAAACUUUAAUGUUUGCACUUAUUUAUGCUUAUGCUGUGGUGACUCUUUUCAAUUUUUAGCUGAAAACGAAAGAUGAAAGAGGGCUUUUGUCUCG
rnacentral:lncRNA from 1 species